AUACGUAGGGGGCGAGCGUUGUCCGGAAUGAUUGGGCGUAAAGGGCGCGUAGGCGGCCUGUUAAGUCUGGAGUGAAAGUCCUGUUUUCAAGAUGGGAAUUGCUUUGGAUACUGAUGGGCUUGAGUGCAGGAGAGGUUAUCGGAAUUCCCGGUGUAGCGGUGAAAUGCGUAGAUAUCGGGAAGAACACCGGUAGCGUAAGCGGCUUCCGUAUCCGUUACUGGCGCUGAGGCGCGAAAGUGUGGGGAGCAAACAGGAUUAGAUACCCUGGUAGUCCACACUGUAAACGAUGGGCACUAGAUGUUGGAUCGCAAGGUUCAGCGUCGCAGCUAACGCAUUAAGUGCCCCACCUGGGAAGUACGGCCGCAAGGUUGAAACUUAAAGGAAUUGACGG
rnacentral:rRNA from 1 species